rnacentral:tRNA from 1 species
AACAAUUUAGUUUAUAAAAAACAAAUGAUUUACAUUCAUUUAAACUCUAGAAAUAGAAAUUAUUA